GACGAACGCUGGCGGCGUGCUUAACACAUGCAAGUCGAACGAUGAAGCUAGAGCUUGCUCUGGUGAAUUAGUGGCGAACGGGUGAGUAACACGUGAGUAACCUGCCCCGAACUCUGGGAUAACUGCUGGAAACGGUAGCUAAUACUGGAUACGACCUACGAAGGCAUCUUCUGUAGGUGGAAAGAAUUUCGGUUCGGGAUGGACUCGCGGCCUAUCAGCUUGUUGGUGAGGUAAUGGCUCACCAAGGCGACGACGGGUAGCCGGCCUGAGAGGGUGACCGGCCACACUGGGACUGAGACACGGCCCAGACUCCUACGGGAGGCAGCAGUGGGGAAUAUUGCACAAUGGGCGCAAGCCUGAUGCAGCAACGCCGCGUGAGGGAUGACGGCCUUCGGGUUGUAAACCUCUUUUAGUAGGGAAGAAGCGAAAGUGACGGUACCUGCAGAAAAAGCACCGGCUAACUACGUGCCAGCCGCCGCGGUAAAAC
rnacentral:rRNA from 1 species